rnacentral:lncRNA from 1 species
GCCCUUACUCGGGGUAGGUGGAGGUCUCGAGUUCUCCAACUGAUCAAUUCGAUCAUGCAAUGGUUCAAUUUCAUUCUUAAGCAAUCGUUUGAACUCCCCCAUCAUGGCUUCCAACUGUAGUUUGAUGUCCAUGGUUUGGCUACCCACUCCACUAGACAUAUUUAGUUCACCUGCAAAACAAAUAAACAAAAACGAUUUCCUCUCUUUUUUUUUUUUUUUAAUACAAUGUAUAGGUCACUCACACUCGUGUUUCACUCAAGUGUAUCACUCUCUAAUAAUCUUACCAAGCAAUUCCUUGGCUUGCUAGUUGCUCGAGUUGAACAAACGAGGCGUCACCGCAGUGUACGUUCUUGACUAGUCAACAAGUGACACACAAGCUAGUAGCAAUAAGUGGAGGUGAAUGACUGAAGACCUAGACACGACUCAAGACUCAGAAUAUAGCUGGACAAUAACUAACGACUCAAAAGAAAGUAAGACAAUUAACUUGAAUGCUGAAAUUUUGAAAAUCCUAGAAAACUCUACCUGAAACCCAAAUUUCUGGAAUGUGUUGAGCUGCUGGUCCGUGGUCUUUUUGGUCCGUGAUCUGAUUUGGACACUUGGGGUUGCCAAGAUUAGAAACCUUGGAGUUUGGUCAGAUUUGGGAGUCCCAAGUGGUCCAAAUUCGAAAUUUUGGGGCUGGUCAGAUUUGGAAGUCAGAUUUUGCACAAAAUUUGGUAAACUUGUAGGCUGUCAAGAAUUGGAUGUUGUUCAGAUUUGGAAGUCCAAGUUUGAAUCAGAUUUGGUGGCUUGAAUGCUGACCAAGACUAGGGCUGUUCAGAUUUGAAAGUCCAAGUUUGAAUCAGAUUUGGUAAAACAUGAAGGCUGGUCAAGAAUUGGAAACUAGAGCCGUCUUUCUUGAAAUUUUUUUUUGACUUCUGUUGGGGUGUUUUCACACAAUAGCCAGCUAGCUUAGACCACAAUUUCACAGCAAUUAACGUAAACAACUUGGACAGAUUUGGUUUCAAGAUCAAAGUUCCAUGAAAACAAGAACACGGUUGAAGGUUUAUUUCAGGUUUCAAGACUGCCAAGAUUAACCUCUUUGAUCCAAGAAGCUCAAGACUUCCCCAAUAAGGUUUUGAUGUUCGAGUUUUGCAAAGUAACAACACAAAGGUUCAAGAAACAAGUGCAAACAGAUUCGGCAACCCAGCAAUUAAUUCCAUCAACGACUCAAGGGAAUGACAAUAAGGUAUGCAACACAAGAGAUUUUUUUUUUCUGGAUUUAAACAGAACAUAAACACAAGACAAAACUGGACAGAAAAUUUCGGACAACAACUAAACAACAAAGACAGAUUUCUGACAAGGAAACAACCAAGACAGAUUUCUGACAAGGAAACAACAAAGACAGAUUUCGGACUUGACAAACCCGAGCACUUGAGCUACGAAUUUAGAAGACUAAAAUAGAUCUAAAAACGAUAAAAAGGAUAUUCGUGAUACCUCUAACUAGCUCUGAUACCAGCUGAUACGAGACGCGGAAGCUACUUCGGAUCUAGAGGAACACGAUGAAGAUUUGACGGAGUUGAACCCGAACUUGGACCACUCAAGAACAGAUUUAACGGUAGAGGACGACACAAUCAAGUAUGUGUGCUUGAUUGAUAAGUCAAGAACAGCCUAGGAUCAACUCUAGGAUGUUCAACUUAGCUUUUACAAGCUAAGGGAAUUUCCCACAAGGAAUGGACGAAAUUCUGGAAAUUUUAUUCAAUACUCUCAAAAACUGAAUGUAACAUGCGGCUUGAGGCUAUUAAUAGCCGUGACUAAGACCUAAUAAACUGGAAAAAUAACAAGGAAAGUUCGGCCAGCCCCUUGGGCCUUCACUUGACCGAAAGCUAGCCCAACUAACUAUAGAUCAUAAGCUUCGGUGGCGUUGCCCCCGAACCCCCACCGGGGGCUUCGCUGCGCCCCCGGGCCCCCAAGCCAGGGGCGCGUCGCCCCCUUGGACCCCCGACUCGCUGAUCGGACAGCGAGACCCCCGUACGGCUCAGCGAGGGUACUUAACUGCGGCUAAGCCCGCCGUUUGGAGCUUGAACAUUUGCAUCUUCAAUUGUAAGCAGCAUUUUAGUAGUCGUGCAAGGAUAUUCCAACUCAAUUCCUUCAAUGACCGGUUUCUCUUGGGUUUGGACUGCACGUACCAAGGCUUGAAGGGACUCCUUGAAUCUCUUGGCUCGUGCUCGUGUCACUGGGCCUUGGGGCACCUUCACAGGGUCUACUUGUACACUUUGGGCCUCGUGCUCAACCGCAUCAUUCCCCUCCUCUUGAAAAGGAUUUGCCCUCAAAUCGUACUCGUCCCCUGCAAUAAAUGGACUUAGAUCAGCAACAUUGAAUGUAGCACUAACAGUAUACUCACCAGGCAGAUCUAAGCGGUAUGCAUUGUCGUUGAUGCGCUCAAUAACUUGAAAAGGCCCAUCUCCUCUUGGUGACAGCUUGCUUUGCCGUUGUUUUGGAAACCUCUCCUUGCGCAAAUGUAACCAGACCCAAUCACCUGGUUCAAAGACAAGCUUGCGCCUGUGCUUAUUAGCUUGUUGGACAUAUUGGGCCGUCCUCCUCUCGAUGUUGGUACGAACCUUGUCGUGUAAUGAUCUCACGAACUCAGCUUUCUUCUUGCCAUCUAAGUUCAUAUGCUCAGAAGAAGGUAAUGGCAACAAAUCUAAGGGAGUUAAGGGGUUCAAACCAUACACAACUUCAAAAGGCAAGAAUUGUGUAGCACUAUGCACAACCCUAUUGUAUGCAAACUCAACAUGAGGUAGACACUCCUCCCAUGACUUGAUAUUUUUCUUUAUGAUUGCACGUAGGAGUGUGGAUAAAGUCCUAUUGACUACCUCAGUUUGUCCGUCCGUUUGAGGAUGACUAGAGGUAGAGAACAACAGUUUGGUUCCCAACCGACCCCAUAAAGAUUUCCAGAAAUAGCUCAAAAACUUGACAUCUCUAUCGGAUACUAUUGUCCUAGGUAUGCCAUGCAAACGAACAACCUCUUUAAAGAAUAAAUCAGCAAUGUGUAAAGCAUCAUCCGUCUUAUGACAUGCAAUAAAGUGAGCCAUUUUGGAGAACCUAUCUACCACAACAAAUAUAGAGUCAUGACCACGCUUUGAACGAGGUAAACCAAGCACGAAAUCCAUGGAGAUGUCAACCCAAGGGUGGUGAGGUAUGGGUAAAGGAGUAUACAAACCGUUUGGGUUGACCCGAGACUUAGCUUUGUGGCACACACCACAUCUUUCAACAAUCCUCUCCACGUCCUUGCGCAUGCGAGGCCAAUGGAAGUGUUCCUGCAAUACAGCUAAUGUCUUGGUGACACCAAAGUGUCCCAUUAGUCCACCACUAUGUGACUCCUGAAUAAGUAAGUCACGUAUGGACCCUCGAGGAAUGCACAGCUUGGUAAGAUAAAAUAAGAACCCAUCAUGUACAAAGAACUUUUCAAAGUCAGAUUUUCCCCAAUUCGCAUAAGCGUUGGCAAAAUCCAAGCCAUCCUUAUACAACUCCUUCAUGAGUUCAAAGCCUAGGAGUUUAGCAUCUAAGGCAGUGAGCAAAAUGUGUCUCCGAGAUAAAGCGUCAGCUACUACAUUAGACUUACCUGUUUUGUAUUUGAUGACGUAUGGAAAAGACUCGAUGAAGGCUACCCAUCGGGCAUGCCGUUUGCUCAGCUUUUGUUGUCCUUUUAGGUGCUUGAGAGACUCAUGGUCAGUUUUGAUGACGAAUUCCCGGGCACGUAGGUAGUGUUGCCAUGUCUCCAAAGCACGUACGAGGGCAAACAUCUCCUUGUCAUAAGUUGAAUAGUUGAGGACCGCGCCAUUUAAUUUCUCACUAAAGUAGGCAAUCGGUCUCCCUCCUUGCAUGAGUACGGCUCCUACUCCUACACCUGAUGCAUCACAUUCCACUUCAAAAGUGAGAUCAAAGUUAGGUAUUGCAAGGAGUGGUGCAUGUGUGAGUUUGUGUUUCAGCAAUUGGAAAGCCUUAUCUUGGGCUUCCCCCCAAAAGAACUUCUCGUUCUUCUUUAUGACCGCGGUAAGAGGUGCAGCAAUGGUGCUAAAAUCCUUCACAAAGCGACGGUAGAAGCUUGCUAAUCCAUGAAAGCUGCGCACAUCACUUACAGAGGUAGGUGUUGGCCACUCUUGGAUGGACUUAAUCUUCUCUUCAUCUACAUGAAUGCCCUGCGCACUUACAACAUAUCCUAGAAACACAACACGAUCAGUGCAAAAUGUGCACUUCUUAAGGUUGGCAUAUAGCCUUUCCCUUCGAAGUACUGCAAAGAUGGCUUUGAGGUGCUCAAAGUGUUCCUCUAAGCUUCUACUAUAAAUCAGAAUAUCAUCAAAGUAAACCACUACAAAUUUCCCAAGAAAAGGUCUCAAAACAUGGUUCAUCAAACGCAUGAAGGUACUAGGUGCAUUAGUUAAGCCAAAUGGCAUUACUAACCACUCAUAUAGACCAUGUUUAGUUUUGAAAGCGGUUUUCCACUCAUCUCCCUCUUUCAUUCUUAUUUGGUGGUAACCACUUUUCAAAUCAAUUUUAGUGAAUAUAAUGGCACCAUGCAAUUCAUCUAACAUAUCAUCUAACCUAGGGAUAGGGUGACGAUAUUUUACCGUGAUUGCAUUGACUGCUCGACAGUCGGUGCACAUUCUCCACGCUCCAUCUUUCUUUGGCACGAGAAUCACUGGUACAGCGCAUGGACUUAGACUUUCUCUAGCCCAACCUUUCCUUAGCAAUUCCUCCACUUGCCUUUGCAAUUCCUUUGUUUCCUCAGGACCCAUUCUAUAGGCUGGUUUGUUAGGCAAUGGUGCUCCAGGAAUGAGAUCGAUUUGGUGCUCGAUUCCCCUUAGCGGUGGUAGUCCAUCAGGUACAUCCUCAGGAAAUAUGUCCUCAAAUUCCUGCAAGAGAGGUAAAAUAGUAUAAGGCAAGGAGUCAGUGGGUAUGGAUGAAGUGACCAACUCUUCUUUGCACACAAGCACAAGUAAGAGUUGGUUGGAAGACAAAGCUCGCCUUACAUCUUUGGCUUUUGCUAGCAAGCUUAGCUUCCCCUUAUUUUCUUCUCUCAUAGCCGACCCACUUGUUGCCUUUUUCUUCCCUAGGGUUUCGGCCCUACUCUCUCCUUUUUCUUCCUCACUUUUCUCUCGCUUUUUCCUCUCAAGUUCUAGCUCAUACUCCCUUUGGAGCCUCAUUUGAUCUUCAUACACUUGUUUUGGGGUGAGAGGUACAAGUGUCACCUUUCUAUUGCAAUGAGUAAAGACAUAUUUAUUAGCUCUUCCCUUGAAUUCGACAUCGCGAUCAUAUUGCCAAGGCCGUCCAAGAAUGAGGUGACUUGCUUGCAUUGGCACGACAUCACAAGUAACCUCGUCUUCAUACUUGCCAAUUCGGAAUGGCACUUUUACUUGUCUAAACACGCGGACUUCCCCUUCAUUGUUCAACCAUUGAAGGCGAUAAGGUCUUGGAUGUUUGAUAACUUGGAGCCCUAGCAUUUCUACCAUGAGUAGACUAGCGACAUUGGCACAACUCUCACUAUCAAUAACAACACUACACACCUUAUCCUUGAUAUGACACCUUGUGUAGAAAAGGUUGUCCCGUUGUACCUCCAGUUCCUCCUCUUUGGCGCGGGUAGUGAGGACCUUUCGAACCACUAGGCAUCCAAUCUCCUCAUGCGUAGGUAUCUCCUCACUCGAUUCAUUCUCUUCCUCUUCUAGAGGCGGUAUCCCCUCGUACUCCUCUUCCUCAUCUGAUACAAUUUCCCCAUUUGGCAACAUCAGCAUGGUCCUUUGGCUGGGGCAUUGAGAAGCGAUAUGGCCAAAUCCUUGACACUUAAAACACUUGGUGUCUCGACCACGCGGUUUGGUAGCUGCAUUAUUAGCCUUAAAGUCAGGCUUGGGCGUUGCCUUGGAAGGGAGGCCAUUCGGCCUUGGAGGGUAAGAAGGAGCUGCGGCUUUCUCCUCCCUUUUUGGUUGAGAAGUGCGCCAAUUUCCAGCUGGAUAAGUAGUGCUUUGUCGCGCAGUACCCCUCCUCUUGAGGCGUCGUUCAAUUGUAACCGCCUUCUCGAGCAUUUCAUUCAUGUCGAGGUAGUGUUGGAGUUCCACUACUUCGGCAAUCUCGGGCCUCAAUCCAUGUAGAAAACGAGCCAUAGUGGCCUCUCCAUCUUCACGCAAAUCCGCCUUCAUGAUGGCCAUUUCCAUCUCCUUGUAAUAAUCCUCAACUGACAUGGACCCUUGGUUGAGAGCUUGUAGCCGACGGUGUAGAUCUCAACUAUAGUAGCUCGGAACAAACCUUUUUCUCAUCAGACUCCUCAUUUCCUCCCAAGUUUCCACAGGUCUCUCACGAUUUCUCCUUCGGCUUAGUCUAAGUUGGUCCCACCAAAUGGAGGCGUAGUCAGUGAAUUCUACGGCUGCUAGUUUCACCUUUUGCUCAUCCGUAUAGGUGUGGCAUUCAUAGACUAACUCAAUUUUUCGUUCGCAUUCCAAGUACGCCUCGGGGUCCGACUUGCCUUGGAAUGAGGGAAUCUUGAGUUUGACACCUUUAAUGGUGUCAUCUCCUCGACGUUGGAACCUUUGAUCAUUUUGGUACCUUCCCUCAAACGCUUCCUCUUCAUCGUUUGAGUAUGCCGAUUCUUUGCCCUUACUCGGGGUAGGUGGAGGCCUCGAGUUCUCCAACUGAUCAAUUCGAUCAUGCAAUGGUUCAAUUUCAUUCUUAAGCAAUCGUUUGAACUCCCCCAUCAUGGCUUCCAACUGUAGUUUGAUGUCCAUGGUUUGGCUACCCACUCCACUAGACAUAUUUAGUUCACCUGCAAAACAAAUAAACAAAAAUGAUUUCCUCUCUCUUUUUUUUUUUUUAAUACGAUGUAUAGGUCACUUACACUCGUGUUUCACUCAAGUGUAUCACUCUCUAAUAAUCUUACCAAGCAAUUCCUUGGCUUGCUAGUUGCUCGAGUUGAACAAACGAGGCGUCACCGUAGUGUACGUUCUUGACUAGUCAACAAGUGACACACAAGCUAGUAGCAAUAAAUGGAGGUGAAUGACUGAAGACCUAGACACGACUCAAGACUCAGAAUAUAGCUGGACAAUAACUAACGACUCGAAAGAAAGUAAGACAAUUAACUUGAAUGCUGAAAUUUUUAAAAUCCUAGAAAACUCUACCCGAAACCCAAAUUUCUGGAAUGUGUUGAGCUGCUGGUCCGUGGUCUUUUUGGUCCGUGAUCUGAUUUGGACACUUGGGGUUGCCAAGAUUAGAAACCUUGGAGUUUGGUCAGAUUUGGGAGUCCCAAGUGGUCCAAAUUCGAAAUUUUGGGGCUGGUCAGAUUUGGAAGUCAGAUUUUGCACCAAAUUUGGUAAACUUGUAGGCUGUCAAGAAUUGGAUGUUGUUCAGAUUUGGAAGUCCAAGUUUGAAUCAGAUUUGGUGGCUUGAAUGCUGACCAAGACUAGGGCUGUUCAGAUUUGAAAGUCCAAGUUUGAAUCAGAUUUGGUAAAACUUGAAGGCUGGUCAAGAAUUGGAAACUAGAGCCGUCUUUCUUGAAAUUUUUUUUGACUUCUGUUGGGGUGUUUUCACACAAUAGCCAGCUAGCUUAGACCACAAUUUCACAGCAAUUAACGUAAACAACUUGGACAGAUUUGGUUUCAAGAUCAAAGUUCCAUGAAAACAAGAACACGGUUGAAGGUUUAUUUCAGGUUUCAAGACUGCCAAGAUUAACCUCUUUGAUCCAAGAAGCUCAAGACUUCCCCAAUAAGGUUUUGAUGUUCGAGUUUUGCAAAGCAACAACAUAAAGGUUCAAGAAACAAGUGCAAACAGAUUCGGCAACCCAGCAAUUAAUUCCAGCAACGACUCAAGGGAAUGACAAUAAGGUAUGCAACACAAGAGAUUUUUUUUUUUCUGGAUUUAAACAGAACAUAAACACAAGACAAAACUGGACAGAAAAUUUCGGACAACAACUAAACAACAAAGACAGAUUUCUGACAAGGAAACAACCAAGACAGAUUUCUGACAAGGAAACAACAAAGACAGAUUUCGGACUUGACAAACCCGAGCACUUGAGCUACGAAUUUAGAAGACUAAAAUAGAUCUAAAAACGAUAAAAAGGAUAUUCGUGAUACCUCUAACUAGCUCUGAUACCAGCUGAUACGAGACGCGGAAGCUACUUCGGAUCUAGAGGAACACGAUGAAGAUUUGACGGAGUUGAACCCGAACUUGGACCACUCAAGAACAGAUUUAACGGUAGAGGACGACACAAUCAAGUAUGUGUGCUUGAUUGAUAAGUCAAGAACAGCCUAGGAUCAACUCUAGGAUGUUCAACUUAGCUUUUACAAGCUAAGGGAAUUUCCCACAAGGAAUGGACGAAAUUCUGGAAAUUUUAUUCAAUACUCUCAAAAACUGAAUGUAACAUGCGGCUUGAGGCUAUUAAUAGCCGUGACUAAGACCUAAUAAACUGGAAAAAUAACAAGGAAAGUUCGGCCAGCCCCUUGGGCCUUCACUUGACCGAAAGCUAGCCCAACUAACUAUAGAUCAUAAGCUUCGGUGGCGUUGCCCCCGAACCCCCACCGGGGGCUUCGCUGCGCCCCCGGGCCCCCAAGCCAGGGGCGCGUCGCCCCCUUGGACCCCCGACUCGCUGAUCGGACAGCGAGACCCCCGUACGGCUCAGCGAGGGUACUUAACUGCGGCUAAGCCCGCCGUUUGGAGCUUGAACAUUUGCAUCUUCAAUUGUAAGCAGCAUUUUAGUAGUCGUGCAAGGAUAUUCCAACUCAAUUCCUUCAAUGACCGGUUUCUCUUGGGUUUGGACUGCACGUACCAAGGCUUGAAGGGACUCCUUGAAUCUCUUGGCUCGUGCUCGUGUCACUGGGCCUUGGGGCACCUUCACAGGGUCUACUUGUACACUUUGGGCCUCGUGCUCAACCGCAUCAUUCCCCUCCUCUUGAAAAGGAUUUGCCCUCAAAUCGUACUCGUCCCCUGCAAUAAAUGGACUUAGAUCAGCAACAUUGAAUGUAGCACUAACAGUAUACUCACCAGGCAGAUCUAAGCGGUAUGCAUUGUCGUUGAUGCGCUCAAUAACUUGAAAAGGCCCAUCUCCUCUUGGUGACAGCUUGCUUUGCCGUUGUUUUGGAAACCUCUCCUUGCGCAAAUGUAACCAGACCCAAUCACCUGGUUCAAAGACAAGCUUGCGCCUGUGCUUAUUAGCUUGUUGGACAUAUUGGGCCGUCCUCCUCUCGAUGUUGGUACGAACCUUGUCGUGUAAUGAUCUCACGAACUCAGCUUUCUUCUUGCCAUCUAAGUUCAUAUGCUCAGAAGAAGGUAAUGGCAACAAAUCUAAGGGAGUUAAGGGGUUCAAACCAUACACAACUUCAAAAGGCAAGAAUUGUGUAGCACUAUGCACAACCCUAUUGUAUGCAAACUCAACAUGAGGUAGACACUCCUCCCAUGACUUGAUAUUUUUCUUUAUGAUUGCACGUAGGAGUGUGGAUAAAGUCCUAUUGACUACCUCAGUUUGUCCGUCCGUUUGAGGAUGACUAGAGGUAGAGAACAACAGUUUGGUUCCCAACCGACCCCAUAAAGAUUUCCAGAAAUAGCUCAAAAACUUGACAUCUCUAUCGGAUACUAUUGUCCUAGGUAUGCCAUGCAAACGAACAACCUCUUUAAAGAAUAAAUCAGCAAUGUGUAAAGCAUCAUCCGUCUUAUGACAUGCAAUAAAGUGAGCCAUUUUGGAGAACCUAUCUACCACAACAAAUAUAGAGUCAUGACCACGCUUUGAACGAGGUAAACCAAGCACGAAAUCCAUGGAGAUGUCAACCCAAGGGUGGUGAGGUAUGGGUAAAGGAGUAUACAAACCGUUUGGGUUGACCCGAGACUUAGCUUUGUGGCACACACCACAUCUUUCAACAAUCCUCUCCACGUCCUUGCGCAUGCGAGGCCAAUGGAAGUGUUCCUGCAAUACAGCUAAUGUCUUGGUGACACCAAAGUGUCCCAUUAGUCCACCACUAUGUGACUCCUGAAUAAGUAAGUCACGUAUGGACCCUCGAGGAAUGCACAGCUUGGUAAGAUAAAAUAAGAACCCAUCAUGUACAAAGAACUUUUCAAAGUCAGAUUUUCCCCAAUUCGCAUAAGCGUUGGCAAAAUCCAAGCCAUCCUUAUACAACUCCUUCAUGAGUUCAAAGCCUAGGAGUUUAGCAUCUAAGGCAGUGAGCAAAAUGUGUCUCCGAGAUAAAGCGUCAGCUACUACAUUAGACUUACCUGUUUUGUAUUUGAUGACGUAUGGAAAAGACUCGAUGAAGGCUACCCAUCGGGCAUGCCGUUUGCUCAGCUUUUGUUGUCCUUUUAGGUGCUUGAGAGACUCAUGGUCAGUUUUGAUGACGAAUUCCCGGGCACGUGGGUAGUGUUGCCAUGUCUCCAAAGCACGUACGAGGGCAAACAUCUCCUUGUCAUAAGUUGAAUAGUUGAGGACCGCGCCAUUUAAUUUCUCACUAAAGUAGGCAAUCGGUCUCCCUCCUUGCAUGAGUACGGCUCCUACUCCUACACCUGAUGCAUCACAUUCCACUUCAAAAGUGAGAUCAAAGUUAGGUAUUGCAAGGAGUGGUGCAUGUGUGAGUUUGUGUUUCAGCAAUUGGAAAGCCUUAUCUUGGGCUUCCCCCCAAAAGAACUUCUCGUUCUUCUUAUUGACGCCGGUUAAGAGGCAGCAAUGGUGCUAUAAAAUCCUUCACCAAAAGCGCGUAGAAGCGGCUAAUCAUGAGAAGCUGCGCAUCAUCACUUACAGAGGUAGGUGUUGGCCACUCUUGGAUGGACUUAAUCUUCUCUUCAUCUACAUGAAUGCCCUGCGCACUUACAACAUAUCCUAGAAACACAACACGAUCAGUGCAAAAUGUGCACUUCUUAAGGUUGGCAUAUAGCCUUUCCCUUCGAAGUACUGCAAAGAUGGCUUUGAGGUGCUCAAGGUGUUCCUCUAAGCUUCUACUAUAAAUCAGAAUAUCAUCAAAGUAAACCACUACAAAUUUCCCAAGAAAAGUUCUCAAAACAUGGUUCAUCAAACGCAUGAAGGUACUAGGUGCAUUAGUUAAGUCAAAUGGCAUUACUAACCACUCGUAUAGACCAUGUUUAGUUUUGAAAGCGGUUUUCCACUCAUCUCCCUCUUUCAUUCUUAUUUGGUGGUAACCACUUUUCAAAUCAAUUUUAGUGAAUAUAAUGGCACCAUGCAAUUCAUCUAACAUAUCAUCUAACCUAGAUUAGCGGUGAGAUAUUUACGUGAUUGCAUUGACUGCCAUCCCCCCCCCCCCCCCCGACAGUCGGUGCACAUGUCUCCACGCUCCCUCUUUCUUUAGGCACGAGAAUCACUCCGUACAGCGACAUGACUUAGACUUUCUCUAGCCCAAUUUCCUUAGACAAUUCCUCCACUUCCUUUGCAAUCCUUUGUUUCCUCAGACCCAUUCUAUAGGCCUGGUUUGUUAGUCAAUGGUGCUCCAGGAAUGAAUUCGAUUUGGUGCCUCGAUCCCCUUACGUUGUGAUCAUCAGGUACAUCCUCAGGAACAAUAUUGUCCUCAAAUUCCUGCCGAAGAGAUGUAAAUAGUUUAUAGGCAAGGAGUCAGUGGGGUAUGGAUUUAAGUGACAACUCUUUCUUUGCACACAAGCACAAGUAGAUGGUUGGAGACAAAGCUCGCCUUACAUCUUUGGCUUUGCUAGGCAAGCUUAGCUUCCCUUAUUUUCUUCUCUCAUAGCCGACCCACUUGUUGCCUUUUUCUUUCCUAGGGUUUCGGCCCUACUCUCUCCUUUUUCUUCCUCACUUUUCUCUCGCUUUUUCCUCUCAAGUUCUAGUUCAUACUCCUUUUGGAGCCUCAUUUGAUCUUCAUACACUUGUUUUGGGGUGAGAGGUACAAGUGUCACCUUUCUAUUGCAAUGAGUAAAGACAUAUUUAUUAGCUCUUCCCUUGAAUUCGACAUCGCGAUCAUAUUGCCAAGGCCGUCCAAGAAUGAGGUGACUUGCUUGCAUUGGCACGACAUCACAAGUAACCUCGUCUUCAUACUUGCCAAUUCGGAAUGACACUUUUACUUGUCUAAACACACGGACUUCCCCUUCAUUGUACAACCAUGAAGGCGAUAAGUCUUGGUGUUUGAUAACUGACCCCUAGCAUUUCUACAUGAGUAACUAGCGACAUUGCACAACUCUCACUAUCAAAUACUACAACACUAACACCUUAUCUUGGAUAUGACACCUUGUGUAAAAAGUUGUCCCUUGUACUCCAGUUCUCCUCUUUGGCGCGCCGGUAGUGACCUGACUUUCGAACCACUAGGCAUCCAACUCCUCAUGCGUAAGGUAUCUUCCUACUCGAUUUCAUUCUCUUCCUUCUAGAGGCGGUAUAUCCCUCGUACUCUGCUUCCUAUCUGAUUACAAUUUCCCCAUUUGGCAACACGAUGAGUCCUAUUGGCUGGGGCAUUGAGAGAAGCGAUAUGGCAAAUCUUUGACACUUAAAACACUUGGUGUCUCGACCACGCGGUUUGGUAGCUGCAUUAUUAGCCUUAAAGUCAGGCUUGGGCGUUGCCUUGGAAGGGAGGCCAUUCGGCCUUGGAGGGUAAGAAGGAGCUGGGCUUUCUCCUCCCUUUUUGGUUGAGAAGUGCGCCAAUUUCCAGCUGGAUAAGUAGUGCUUUGUCGCGCAGUACCCCUCCUCUUGAGGCGUCGUUCAAUUGUAACCGCCUUCUCGAGCAUUUCAUUCAUGUCGAGGUAGUGUUGGAGUUCCACUACUUCGGCAAUCUCGGGCCUCAAUCCAUGUAGAAAGACGACCAUUAGUGGCCUCUCCAUCUUCACGCGAAAUCGCCUUCAUGAUGCCAUUUCCAUCUUUUCCUUUAAUAAUCCUCAACUGAAUGGAACCCUUGGUUGAGACAUUGUAGCCGCGUAUUAGAUCUCAAACUAAUAGUACUCGGAACACCUUUUCUCAUCCAGACUCCCAUUUCCUCCAAGCUUUCACAGUCUCUCACGAUUUCUCCUUCGGCUUAGUCUAAGUUUGGUCCCACAAAUGGGAGGCGUUUAGUCAUGUGAUUCUACUGGCUGCUAGCUUUCACUUUUGCUCCUCCGUAUAGGUGUGGCAUGUUCAUAGACUAACUCAGAUUUUCGUUCAGCAUUCCAAGUACGCCUCGGGGGUCCGACUUGCCUAUGGAAUGAGGGGAAUCUUGAGUUUGAACACCUUUAAUGGUGUCAUCUCCUCGACGUUGGAUCCUUUGAUCAUUUUGGUACCUUCCCUCAAACGCUUCCUCUUCAUCGUUUGAGUAUGCCGAUUCUUUGCCCUUACUCGGGGUAGGUGGAGGUCUCGAGUUCUCCAACUGAUCAAUUCGAUCAUGCAAUGGUUCAAUUUCAUUCUUAAGCAAUCGUUUGAACUCCCCCAUCAUGGCUUCAACUGUAGUUUGAUGUCCAUGGUUUGUACACUCCACUAACAGUAUUUUAGUUCACCUGCAAAACAAAUAAACAAAAACGAUUUCCUCCUCUUUUUUUUUUUUUUUUUUUUAAUACGAUGCUAUAGCGUCACUCACACUCGUGUUUCACUUCAGUGUAUCACUCCUCUAAUAAUCUUACAAGCCAAUUCCUUGGCUGCCUAGUUGACUCGAGUUGAACAAACGAGCGUCACCGCCAGUGUACGUUCUCUACUAGCUCAACAAGUGACACACAAGCUAGUAGCAAUAAGUGGAGGUGAAUUGACUGAAGACCAGACAACGACUCAAGACUCAGAAUAGCUGGACAAUAACUACGACUCAAAAGAAAUAAGACAAUUAACUUGAAUGCCUGAAAUUUUUGAAAAUCCUAGAAAACUUCUACCGAACCCAAAUUCUGGAAUGUGUUGAGCUGCUGAGUCUGUGGCUUUUUGGUCCGUGAAUCUGAUUGGACACUUGUGGUGCCAAGAUUAAAACCUUGGAGUUUGGUCAGAUUUGAAUCCCAAGAUGCGUCCAAAUUCGAAAUUGGGGCUGGCUCAGAUUUGGAAGUCAGAUUUGCCCACAAAAUUUGCGUAAACUUGUAGCGCUGUCAGAAUUGGAGUUGUUCAGAUUUGAUAAUCCAUGUUUGAAUCAGAUUUGGUGCUGAAUGUGACCAAGACUUAGGGCCUGUUCAGAUUUGAAACGUCCAAUUUUCUGAAUCAGAUUUGCGUAAAACUCGAAGCUGGUCAGAAUGGAAACUUAAGAGCCGUCUUUCUUGAAAUUUUUUUUUGACUUCUGUUGGGGUGUUUUCACACAAUAGCCAGCUAGCUUAGACCACAAUUUCACAGCAAUUAACGUAAACAACUUGGACAGAUUUGGUUUCAAGAUCAAAGUUCCAUGAAAACAAGAACACGGUUGAAGGUUUAUUUCAGGUUUCAAGACUGCCAAGAUUAACCUCUUUGAUCCAAGAAGCUCAAGACUUCCCCAAUAAGGUUUUGAUGUUCGAGUUUUGCAAAGCAACAACACAAAGGUUCAAGAAACAAGUGCAAACAGAUUCGGCAACCCAGCAAUUAAUUCCAGCAACGACUCAAGGGAAUGACAAUAAGGUAUGCAACACAAGAGAU